GAUGAACGCUGGCGGCGUGCUUAACACAUGCAAGUCGAACGAAGCACUUUAACCUGAUUCUUCGGAUGAAGGGUUUUGUGACUGAGUGGCGGACGGGUGAGUAACGCGUGGGUAACCUGCCUCAUACAGGGGGAUAACAGUUAGAAAUGACUGCUAAUACCGCAUAAGACCACAGAGCCGCAUGUCUCGGUGGGAAAAACUCCGGUGGUAUGAGAUGGACCCGCGUCUGAUUAGGUAGUUGGUGGGGUAACGGCCUACCAGGCCAACGAUCAGUAGCCGAGCUGGGAGGGUGACCGGCCACAUUGGGACUGAGACACGGCCCAAAAUCCUAGGGAAGGCAGCAGAGGGGAAUAUAGCACAAUGGGGGAAACCGUGAUGCAGCGACGCCGCGUGAGCGAAGAAGUAUGUCGGUAUGUACAGCUCUAUCAGAAGGGAAGAGAAUGACGGUACCUGACUAAGAAGCACCGGCUAAAUACGUG
rnacentral:rRNA from 1 species